rnacentral:rRNA from 1 species
UACGUAGGGAGCAAGCGUUGUUCGGAUUUACUGGGCGUAAAGGGCGCGUAGGCGGCAAUUCAAGUCAGCUGUGAAAUCUCCGGGCUUAACUCGGAACGGUCAGCUGAUACUGCUUUGCUAGAGUGCGGAAGGGGCAAUCGGAAUUCUCGGUGUAGCGGUGAAAUGCGCAGAUAUCAGGAGGAACACCGGUGGCGAAGGCGGGUCUCUGGGCCGAUACUGACGCUGAGGAGCGAAAGCGUGGGGAGCGAACAGG